rnacentral:rRNA from 1 species
CGGCGUGCCUAAUACAUGCAAGUCGAGCGAGCUUGCCUAUAGAAAUUCUUCGGAAUGGACAUAGAUACAAGCUAGCGGCGGAUGGGUGAGUAACGCGUGGGUAACCUGCCCUUAAGUCUGGGAUACCAUUUGGAAACAGAUGCUAAUACCGGAUAAAAGCUACUUUCGCAUGAAAGAAGUUUAAAAGGCGGCGUAAGCUGUCGCUAAAGGAUGGACCUGCGAUGCAUUAGCUAGUUGGUAAGGUAACAGCUUACCAAGGCGAUGAUGCAUAGCCGAGUUGAGAGACUGAUCGGCCACAUUGGGACUGAGACACGGCCCAAACUCCUACGGGAGGCAGCAGUAGGGAAUCUUCCACAAUGGACGAAAGUCUGAUGGAGCAACGCCGCGUGAGUGAAGAAGGUUUUCGGAUCGUAAAGCUCUGUUGUUGGUGAAGAAGGAUAGAGGUAGUAACUGGCCUUUAUUUGACGGUAAUCAACCAGAAAGUCACGGCUAACUACGUG